GAUUCAUUGUCUGCUCUGAUAACAGCAUAUGCCUUCCUAAAACUAUCAGGUUAUUUAAAAAGCAGCUACACUAUGUCUUCCAGCUGUGUUUGAUGACGAUACUUCUCUCCGCUUCUCCACUAAGCACACAGAUGCUGUUGGACCCCACAUCCUCAUUACCUGCAGAGAGGGGCUGCCACUCAGAUACACCAAAAUACACAGUGAUUGAUGGUGAAGACAUCAUAUAGGAUUGUGCAGGUAUUUUAGUCUUCAUUACAUCUAUUUUGUGUUUCCAUAAAA